rnacentral:tRNA from 1 species
UGGGACGUCGCCAAGUGGUAAGGCACCUGGUUUUGGUCCAGGCAUUCCUAGGUUCGAAUCCUAGCGUCCCAG